rnacentral:rRNA from 1 species
AGCGAACGCUGGCGGCAGGCCUAACACAUGCAAGUCGAACGAACCUUUCGGGGUUAGUGGCGGACGGGUGAGUAACACGUGGGAACGUGCCUUUAGGUUCGGAAUAACUCAGGGAAACUUGUGCUAAUACCGAAUGUGCCCUUCGGGGGAAAGAUUAAUCGCCUUUAGAGCGGCCCGCGUCUGAUUAGCUAGUUGGUUGAGGUAAUGGCUCACCAAGGCGACGAUCAGUAGCUGGUCUGAGAGGAUGAUCAGCCACAUUGGGACUGAGACACGGCCCAAACCCCUACGGGAGGCAGCAGUGGGGAAUCUUGCGCAAUGGGCGAAAGCCUGACGCAGCCAUGCCGCGUGAAUGAUGAAGGUCUUAGGAUUGUAAAAUUCUUUCACCGGGGACGAUAAUGACGGUACCCGGAGAAGAAGCCCCGGCUAACUUCGUG